GAACCAAACUGACAGUUCUUGGUCAGAUAAUACAUAAUUGGUUAUUUGUCUUGGACACCAGAACAAAAGACGCCUUGUUGUCAAAAGGUUCAGAUGUCUCUUUCUGCAGGACUUUGACCCUGCAGCUUUAAUUUCGUGAUGUGUCCUUUUGUCCUGGCAGAACCUGGACAUGACGUCAGCGGGCCGACAGUCAAAGUGCUUCGCCCUUCACCAAAGGAGUGUCAAAGCCACGGAGACCAGGAGAAGAAGAAGAAGACCAUCGUGUGUGUGGCCAGUGGGUUCUACCCAGACCACGUCGGCGUGCUCUGGAAGGUCGACGGGGUGGAGGUCACCACCGGGGUGGCGACCGACAGCGCCGCUCUCCGGCACGGCAAGUCUUACAGGAUCAGCAGCAGGCUGAGGGUCUCUGCCAACGACUGGUUCACAGACCAAGAGUUCACCUGCAGCGUCCGCUUCUUCAACGGGACGCACACGGAGCUCUACUCACACUCCAUCCUGGGGGGGAAAGGAGCGCUGACCAGAGAGAAAUAUCUGAGGAUCGCACAGACGGCCAAACUGUCCUACGGGGUUCUCAUCGUCAAGAGCGGCGUCUACGGAGCCUUUGUGGCGUUUCUGGUGUGGAGGCUUCAGAGUUCAGCCGGGAAGCAGAGCGACUGAGAGCUGAGGCCUGGACAGAAGUUCAUCGAGUAGAUCGUUGUGUGUUGCACUCAAAUGAACUAGAGGAGCAGUUGUGUCUCUGUUUUUAAAACUGCCAUGCAAAUACUUUGGCCUCACAUUUCUUUUAAAAAUACGUAAAAUAAUUCUGUGUGUGUCGUCGUGGAACGCACGUUUGCUUAUUUUCCGUCUAAAUAAAAGUGUUUCAGAGGAUC